GUGUGUUUGGUACAUGAAUAAUAGCCUCAGGAGAGUUUACAACCAAUGUGAAAACAGUAAUUCUCUUCUGCACUAGUUUUCCUCCAGAAUUAGCCCAACAAUGACAACAUAGACAACAUAAAACUGAAUAAAUGGGAAGAAGUAUAUAUGAAGAGAAGAAAAAAAAAGGAAAAAAAAUAUAUAGGAUGCACAUUUGUAAUCACAACCCUUUUUGUAAAGGAGCCCUCAGAGGGAUCUCUGAGAUGUCUUGGAUUAUCCUCUGAGAGAAGGAUGG